rnacentral:rRNA from 1 species
GCAUAUCAAUAAGCGGAGGAAAAGAAACCAACAGGGAUUGCCCUAGUAACGGCGAGUGAAGCGGCAAUAGCUCAAAUUUGAAAGCUGGCCUUUGGUCCGCAUUGUAAUUUGUAGAGGAUGCUUUUAGGCAGCCGCCGGUCUAAGUUCCUUGGAACAGGACGUCAUAGAGGGUGAGAAUCCCGUAUGUGACCGGCUCUGGCACCUUCUGUAAAGCUCCUUCGACGAGUCGAGUUGUUUGGGAAUGCAGCUCUAAAUGGGAGGUAAAUUUCUUCUAAAGCUAAAUACCGGCGAGAGACCGAUAGCGCACAAGUAGAGUGAUCGAAAGAUGAAAAGCACUUUGGAAAGAGAGUUAAAAAGCACGUGAAAUUGUUGAAAGGGAAGCGCUUGCAAUCAGACUUGGACUUGGCUGUUCAACCGGUCUUCUGACCGGCCUACUCAGUCUUGUCCAGGCCAGCAUCAGUUUCGGCGGCCGGAUAAAGGCCCUGGGAAUGUAGCUGUCUCUUCGGGGGCAGUGUUAUAGCCCAGGGUGUAAUACGGCCAGCUGGGACUGAGGUCCGCGCUUCGGCUAGGAUGCUGGCGUAAUGGUUGUAAGCGGCCCGUCUUGAAACACGGACCAAGGAGUCUAACAUCUAUGCGAGUGUUAGGGUGUCAAACCCUUACGCGUAAUGAAAGUGAACGGAGGUGGGAACCCGCAAGGGUGCACCAUCGACCGAUCCUGAUGUCUUCGGAUGGAUUUGAGUAAGAGCAUAGCUGUUGGGACCCGAAAGAUGGUGAACUAUGCCUGAAUAGGGUGAAGCCAGAGGAAACUCUGGUGGAGGCUCGCAGCGGUUCUGACGUGCAAAUCGAUCGUCAAAUUUGGGUAUAGGGGCGAAAGACUAAUCGAACCAUCUAGUAGCUGGGUUCUGCGA